UUCGUUCUCGACAAAAAGGAAAAAACCACUUCACCUUGUUAUAACCAUGGGGGCUAAGAUCGCUGCAACAGUCGUUGCCUUGUUACUACUAACAUUCUGUGUGGAGGCACAGGAUUGCGGCGGACCAAUCCAUACCUUCAAAGACAAAUGCCAAGGGGUCUCAGGGAGGAGGGUCAGAGGUCACCUAGCCACGGGGGAACGAUUUAAUGGACAAACGGUAGUGCCUUCUAAUUAUUUUACCGCCACAUGCAGCGCUGCUUGCAAAGCUGCGAACUUCACUGGCGGAAGCUGCGAGAAUGAUGGUAUAUGCUACUGCCAUUGUUAUGAUGGAGUCCACCCAUCAAAAGAAAGCACCGAGUAACGUGUUGAGCAUGUAGGAGAUGAAUUUCUCCUUCUCAUUGUAUGUUUAGGCAAAUUUUCGGUUUAUGGUCUUACAAUUUAAAGAUUUAUAUCUCAUGAAAAAAUAAAGGAAACAUGAAAUGAUUUUCA